rnacentral:rRNA from 1 species
AAAACUUUCAACAACGGAUCUCUUGGUUCUGGCAUCGAUGAAGAACGCAGCGAAAUGCGAUAUGUAAUGCGAAUUGCAGAAUUCCGUGAGCCAUCGAAUCUUUGAACGCACAUUGCGCCCCCCGGUACUCCGGAGGGCAUGCCUGUUCGAGCGUCAUU